rnacentral:tRNA from 1 species
UCCUAUUUGGGUUUUUAUUGAGAUUAAAAAAACAUCAACAAAUAAAACAAAUAUUGACAUUUCACUUUAUUACAGCAAACUUUCCAAAUAUUUUCUCUGGAACAAAACUCAAACUCACAUUACCCUCAAAUUAAUGUUAGGUGGCUUCACAGACCUAUUUCUAAUUACAGAGAUAGAUGCACUAUGUUUUACAAUAUGUAUGUUUUUAUCUGUAUAGUGCAACUGCAUUGUCAAAAACAUUACAAGAUAAGAACAUUGAAUUAAUCGAAACAGCAUAGGAUAAGAGCAGACCAAGUUGAAAACAUGAAACUGAAAGAAACUUGUUACAGGAACGUGAAAUCAUACAAAUUAUAGAUUUUGCUGUGUACCUCAAUUACGAUUUUUAUAUGACAGAAAUUGCAAAGUUGCAAUGCAGUAUGAACUGAUAUUGUCAUGCACACAAUUCAUUAAAGAAAUUAAUAGCAGGCUAGAAGACAUGUUUAACAUACAUGCAAUCUUGAACAACAUUUACAUACAACUUCGCCCAGUCUGUGAAACCAAGCCAUCCACUUCAGGUGAAAGCCAGGUAAUAAAAAACAUGUAAAAAUAGUUGAUAGCUAACAGAUAAGUCUUAAAAAUAACUAUGAGUAUUGAUGUUUAGUGAAUUACAAGGAUGAUACUAGCUAACAAAAAACCCUCACAGUAGACAAUAACUAUACAUCUUCUGGGAGAUAUCUUAGUGAUGAUUGGAUUGGAAGUUUACAGUUACCGUCUUGACUCCACAAGGUGAAGUAUGCAAUGAAUCAAGUGAAAUAAAGUGCAACUAUGUUUAAUGGCACCGUCCCAAAUGGCACCUUAUUCCCUUUAUAGUGGUCACAUGUGGCUCAGUUGGUAGAGGAUGGUGGUAGAGCAUGGUUUGCAACGCCAGGGUUGUGGGUUUGAUUCCCACGGGGGACCAGUACGAAAAGAAGAAAAAAAAUGUAUGAAAUGUAUGCAUUCACUACUGUAAGUCGCUCUGGAUAACAGCGUCUGCUAAAUGACUAAAAUGUAAUAGUGCUCUACUUUUGACCAGGGUCCGUAGGCUCUGGUCAAAGUAGUGCACUUUAUAGGGAAGAGGGUGCCAUGACAGUGACACUAACAAAAUCUGUAUCGAAACAAAGAUAGCUGGGAAGAAGUUGUUACAUUCAAAGCUUUGGCAAUUAAGAGAAAUAAAAUUACAAGACAUUAGCAUUUUGAAAAUUGCAGACCCUCAGGAGAGAUAAGACAACAAUUAAAAGUAUGUUAUUUAUUUAUUACAAGAAACAAAACACUGAUUUAACCCAUUUUAGCUUCUUAUUUACCUAUAUGAGUAAAUAGACAAUUGAUUCAUACAUUCAUGAUCUUUCCCACAUUGUAACAUUUUGGAUGGAGAUGAAGGAACAUCUCGGUAAAAGCUCAAUGAGAAUAUCAUGACCAAAAGGAUGCGCAUGGAAUUAGAAACCGUAUCCAAAUGGGAUAAGUCUGCACAGACCAAUAUAUUAACAACUGUCAAUGAAAUUGUCUUCACAUCAUUCAAGCUAUGAAGGGGAAGAAAAAAAAAUGACAUGGUUUCCACAAAGCAUCAAAAAUAAUAGCAAGAGCAAAUAGACACGUAGGUUAAUUGAGAAAACUAAAGAGUUGGGUAAGAGCUAUCCCACUAGUAAAAUGUUAAAAACAUGUCCAUUCAUCCUACAAGAUGCUACUGAUAUUUUGUGUUUCCCGGCAACAAGGUAUGUUGUCUUGUUCAGUCUGCUCCACCUAGGUUCCUUUUACUUUAGAAACCUUUUUGGUUGAGCCAGGCUUCCUGCCUCCGCCUCUUAGAAACAACCCCCACCUUCUUUAUGAGCUGCCGCCACCUUACCAGGUUUGCUAGCCUUGUGACAACCACUGUGUGGUUUUAUUUCCUCUUCAAAUUGGACACAAGUCUUCGUCCUCAUCUCUCUCUGCAUCUUCAUUUUCCUCCUUCUCUGAAUCACAAGUUGUAUAAUCAACUUUCACAGAUGUUCUCCUGCCUCUUCGCCUCUGGGCUUGGAAGGCAGCUUCAUCUAACACAUUUGCUUUACCAUUGGUGCAGCGGUAAAGCUUUACUAUUGGAGAAACAGUGCACCCCUGUUUGGCUGGGGGUGCACUAUUGGACCUAUGCUUCUCUGCUGCUCUCUUGGCUUUGUUUGCUUGUACGGAGCCUAAGGGGCGGCCCCUCUUUUGCGGGGAACCAUCUAUAACGGGUGGCUUGGAAACUUUAGAGGUUGGAGGUGGGUUCUUCCGUAAGUGGGCACCUCUCCCCAUUGUUGCCUUGCGUGGACGGCCUCUUGCCCGUGGCUCAGCAGAGGUGGCUGGGGGAUCCAUGUAGGGGUGGAUGCGCGGCCUUCCGAGAGGCUUCCACACUCUUGAUCCCUUAGGUUGGCUUUUCAGUUUCUUUCUCUCUUCUUCCUCCUCGGUUGAUAGCGGGUUCUUCUUCGGCCUACCCAUUUUUUUUUUGGGUUUAACAUUUUGGGGCCGGCCAUGCUUCAGAGGUGCAGUUCCGAGAGGCUUCCACACUCUUGAUCCCUUAGGUUGGCUUUUCAGUUUCUUUCUCUCUUCUUCCUCCUCGGUUGGUAGCGGGUUCUUCCUCGGCCUACCCAUUUUUUUUGUUUGUUUAACAUUUUGGGGCCGGCCAUGCUUCAGAGGUGCAGUUGGCUCUGCUGAAACAGCAUUAGGGUCAACCACUUUACAUGGCCUGCCCCGUGGCCGCUUGUCUAGUACCCUCAGUAUCUUGGGUGUCUUAGAGCCUGAUCCUUUGGGCCUUCCCUUUCCCCUCUUAGGUGGUAUGGGGUUGCCAUUAGACAAGGCUUCACCUAACUCCUCAUCACUACCAGUAUCAGAGGCAAUUAUCUGUCCUUUUUCCGACACUGUUGCCUCUUCUUCCGACACUGUUGCCCUUUCUUCAGACAUUGUUGCCCCUUCCAUCAUCUGUUUUCUUGCUACCUGGCUCCUUCGUUCUUUCCUUCCAGCUCACUUUCUUGGAGGACUAGUGAACUACUUAGGGCUUCCCACUGUAAAACACACAUCUCGAGAAAGUUACAAAACAAACAAAUGUUCUUUGUGCACCCCUUCAUUGCUUCAUAAAACUGACCUACAUGGGCACGAGAAAGUGUAGCUAACAUGUAUUGCAACAUGCACAGCCUAAACACAGAUUUUAUGUUUACUGAUUUUUCAUUUAUGUAUAUGCUAAGGUGCACAAUACUAACAAAAUCUGAUAUGAACGUCUCCAUGACAUCCCUAAUUAAGGUUACUGCAUUGAAGCGAUUCUGAAAACUAGCCAGCUAGUAUCCUGAAUCAGUGAUUGUUUUGGUUAGUAGUAGUUAGCUAACUUUACCAGCUGUUCGAAGAAACAUAAUAUUAAUCUUUUAGGACAGAGUUUCCCACACUCUGUCCUACCCACCCCUGGGUGGACGUUUUGUUUUUUUCCUAAGCACUACAUAGCUGAUGGAAAUAAUCAAAGUUUGAUGAUGAAUUGGAUAUAUGAAUCAAAUGGGUAGUGCUUGCGCAAAAACAAAAACGUGCACACAGGGGGAGGGAGGGCCCAGGUCCGAGUUUGGGAAACCCUGUUCGACAAGUAACUAGUUAACUAAAUGGACUUGAAAAUAAACUAGAUAAUUUGCUAACUACGUAGCAUCGCCAGCUAUUUCGCUAGGUAGCUACCCAGCUAGUUAUCGUGACAAAGCCACCUAACUAGCUAGCUAGUUAAAUAAAGGUUAAAUUAAAUAAAAGCUAGCAAACAGUAGCACUAACGCUUGCGACAGCCAUGGAUAGCAAGCUUCGCUAGCAAGUUAAUGAAAAUACCACACUGCAGAAUACGCCUCACCUUGAUAAAAUCCUUGGUUAGAUAUCGUUUAAUCUCAUGAAAGUUCCUUGUUGUUAGCUAGCGAUGUAAAUUUCAAACGGAAUUUGUGGGGGCUGUUUUGUAAACCCCUACUACUAAGACCACUUUUUUUAGUUCCGUUCUGUUAGGUUGCGUCAAUCAAAUCUGGUAUCAGAACAGAAUUUAACACUAAGUCACUGAAUAUAUUCUCUGCUUUUUUAUUCAAUUGAAUUAGUCAAGCGAAUAAAUGGUAAAUGCAAUCUUAGUAUAUACGGAUUCACUGUAACACCUCGCAGGGCAAACAGAGAACUAACUGUUCACACACAAAGUUAUUUAAUACACCUUAUUCCCUUUAUAGUGGUCCCGUGUGGCUCAGUUGGUAGAGCAUGGUGUUCGCAAUGCCAGGGUUGUGGGUUCGAUUCCCACGUGGGACCAGUACGAAAAGAAAAAAAAAAGGUAUGAAAAGAAAAAAAUAAUGUAUGAAAUGUAUGCAUUCACUACUGUAAGUCGCUCUGGAUAAGAGCGUCUGCUAAAUGACUAAAAUGUAAUAGUGCUCUACUUUUGACCAGGGUCCGUAGGCUCUGGUCAAAGCAGUGCACUUUAUAGGGAAGAGGGUGCCAUGACAGUGACACUAACAAAAUCUGUAUCGAAACAAAGAUAGCUGGGAAGAAGUUGUUACAUUCAAAGCUUUGGCAAUUAAGGGAAAUAAAAUUACAAGACAUUACAAGACAUUGCAGACCCUCAGGAGAGAUAAUUGUUGUCUUAAAAGUAUGUUAUUUAUUUAUUUAUUACAAGAAACAAAACACUGAUUUAACCCAUUUUAGCUUCUUAUUUACCUAUAUGAGUAAAUAGACAAUUGAUUCAUACAUUCCUGAUCUUUCCCACAUUGUAACAUUUUGGAUGGAGAUGAAGAAACAUCUCGGUAAAAGCUCAAUGAGAAUAUCAUGACCUAAAGGAUGAGCAUGGAAUUAGAAACAGCAUCCAAAUGGGAUAAGUCUGCACAGACCAAUAUAUUAACAACUGUCAAUGAAAUUGUCUUCACAUCAUUCAAGCUAUGAAGGGGAAGGAAAAAAAUGACAUGGUUUCCACAAAGCAUAAAAAAUAAUAGCAAGAGCAAAUAGACACGUAGGUUAAUUGAGAAAACUAAAGAGUUGGGUAAGAGCUAUCCCACUAGUAAAAUGUUAAAAACAUGUCCAUUCAUCCUACAAGAUGCUACUGAUAUUUUGUGUUUCCCGGCAACAAGGUAUGUUGUCUUGUUCAGUCUGCUCCACCUAGGUUCCUUUUACUUUAGAAACCUUUUUGGUUGAGCCAGGCUUCCUGCCCCGCCUCUUAGAAACAACCCCCACCUUCUUUAUGAGCUGCCGCCACCAUAACUAGGUUUGCUAGCUUUGUGACGACCACUGUGUGAUUUUAUUUCCUCUUCAACUGGAGACAAGUCUUCGUCCUCAUUUCUCUCUGCAUCUUCAUUUUCCUCCUUCUCUGAAUCACAAGUUGUAUAAUCAACUGUCACAGACGUUCUCCUGCCUCUUCGCCUCUGGGCUUGGAAGGCAGCUUCAUCUAACACAUUUGCUUUACCAUUGGUGCAGCGGUAAAGCUUUACUAUUGGAGAAACAGUGCACCCCUGUUUGGCUGGGGGUGCACUAUUGGACCUAUCCUUCUCUGCUGCUCUCUUGGCUUUGUUUGCUUGUACGGAGCCUAAGGGGCAGCCCCUCUUUUGCGGGGAACCAUCUAUAACGGGUGGCUUGGAAACUUUAGAGGUUGGAGGUGGGUUCUUCCGUAAGUGGGCACCUCUACCCAUUGUUGCCUUGCGUGGACGGCCUCUUGCCCGUGGCUCAGCAGAGGUGGCUGGGGGAUCCAUGUAGGGGUGGAUGCGCGGCCUUCCGAGAGGCUUCCACACUCUUGAUCCCUUAGGUUGGCUUUUCAGUUUCUUUCUCUCUUCUUCCUCCUCGGUUGAUAGCGGGUUCUUCCUCGGUCUACCAAUUUUUUUUGUUUGUUUAACAUUUUGGGGCCGGCCAUGCUUCAGAGGUGCAGUUGGCUCUGCUGAAACAGCAUUAGGGUCAACCAGUUUACAUGGCCUGCCCCGUGGCCGCUUGUCUAGUACCCUCAGUAUCUUGGGUGUCUUAGAGCCUGAUCCUUUGGGCCUUCCCUUUCCCCUCUUAGGUGGUAUGGGGUUGCCAUUAGACAAGGCUUCACCUAACUCCUCAUCACUACCAGUAUCAGAGGCAAUUAUCUGUCCUUUUUCCGACACUGUUGCCCCUUCUUCAGACAUUGUUGCCCCUUCUUCAGACAUUGUUGCCCCUUCUUUCAUCUGUUUUCUUGCAACCUGGCUCCUUCGUUCUUUCCUUCCAGCUCACUUUCUUGGAGGACUAGUGAACUACUUAGGGCUUCCCACUGUAAAACACACAUCUCGAGAAAGUUACAAAACAAACAAAUGUUCUUUGUGCACCCCUUCAUUGCUUCAUAAAAGUGACCUACAUGGGCGCGAGAAAGUGUAGCUAACAUGUAUUGCAACAUGCACAGCCUAAACACAGAUUUUAUGUUUACUGAUUUUUCAUUUAUGUAUAUGGUAAGGUGCACAAUACUAACAAAAUGUGAUAUGAACGUCUCCAUGACAUCCCUAAUUAAGGUUGCUGCAUUGAAGCGAUUCUGAAAACUAGCUAGCUAGUAUCCUGAAUCGGUGAUUGUUUUGGUUAGUAGUAGUUAGCUAACUUUACCAGCUGUUCGAAGAAACAUAAUAUUAAUCUUUUAGGACAGGGUUUCCCACACUCUGUCCUACCCACCCCUGGGUGCACGUUUUGUUUUUUCCCUAAGCACUACAUAGCUGAUUAAAAUAAUCAAAGUUUGAUGAUGAAUUGGAUAUAUGAAUCAAAUGGGUAGUGCUUGCGCAAAAACAAAAACGUGCACACAGGGGGAGGGAGGGCCCAGGUCCGAGUUUGGGAAACCCUGUUCGAGAAGUAACUAGUUAACUAAAUGGACCUGAAAAUAAACUAGCUAAUUUGCUAACUGCGUAUAAUCGCCAGCUAUUUCGCUAGGUAGCUACCUAGAUAGUUAUCGUGACAAAGCCACCUAACUAGCUAGCUAGUUAAAUAAUGGUUAAAUAAAAUAAAAGCUAUCAAGCAGUAGCACGAACGCUUGCGACAGCCAUGGAUAGCAAGCUAGCUAGCUAGCUCACGCCGUUAGCUUGCUAGCGAAGCUAGUUUAAUGAAAAU